CGGUCUCUCCUCAUAUGGGACCCAUACAUGUUUAAAGUAAAAUAAAAUAAAGGAAGAAGAGUCCAAGUAGGACAUGCAUUGGUGUGGCCCUAAAUGUUCUUGCUUCUCACAAAAGCAAAGGUGAUGGCUACAAAUCUUUUGCAGCACAGAAAUAGAGGUGGUGAGAGAAAACAAAAACAUGGGAAGAAGAGAAACAAGAAAAUGUUGUUACUUUAUCGGA
rnacentral:lncRNA from 1 species